rnacentral:guide_RNA from 1 species
CAACUGCAAGAUCGUAUUAUAGAAGGUGAAUGAUUGUAAUUUGA